rnacentral:rRNA from 1 species
CCUACGGGCGGCAGCAGUGGGGAAUAUUGGACAAUGGGGGGAACCCUGAUCCAGCCAUGCCGCGUGUGUGAAGAAGGCCCUCGGGUUGUAAAGCACUUUCAGUGAGGAAGAACGCCUGGUGGUUAAUACCCAUCAGGAAAGACAUCACUCACAGAAGAAGCACCGGCUAACUCCGUGCCAGCAGCCGCGGUAAUACGGAGGGUGCGAGCGUUAAUCGGAAUUACUGGGCGUAAAGCGCGCGUAGGUGGCUUGAUAAGCCGGUUGUGAAAGCCCCGGGCUCAACCUGGGAACGGCAUCCGGAACUGUCAAGCUAGAGUGCAGGAGAGGAAGGUAGAAUUCCCGGUGUAGCGGUGAAAUGCGUAGAGAUCGGGAGGAAUACCAGUGGCGAAGGCGGCCUUCUGGACUGACACUGACACUGAGGUGCGAAAACGUGGGUAGCAAACAGGAUUAGAUACCCGAGUAGUC